CAAUAGCGUAUAUUAAAGUUGUUGCAGUUAAAAAGCUCGUAGUUGGAUUUCUGGUGGGAGCGAUCGGUCUGGCGCUUAGCGCGAGUACUUGCAUCGUCUCCGGCCAUCCUUGGGGAGAGUCUGUCUGGCAUUAAGUUGUCGGGCAGAGGAUCCUCAUCGUUUACUGUGAAAGAAUUAGAGUGUUCAAAGCAGGCUUAUGCCGUUGAAUAUAUUAGCAUGGAAUAAUAAGAUAGGACUUUGGUACUAUUUUGUUGGUUUGUGCACCAAAGUAAUGAUUAAUAGGGACAGUUGGGGGUAUUCGUAUUCCGUUGUCAGAGGCGAAAUUCUUGGAUUUACGGAAGACGAACUACUGCGAAAGCAUUUACCAAGGAUGUUUUCAUUAA
rnacentral:rRNA from 1 species